GCGCCCGUAGCUCAAUGGACAGAGUAGCUGGCUUCGAACCAGUUGGUUGGGAGUUCGAGUCUCUCCGGGCGUA
rnacentral:tRNA from 1 species